AGACUUGUUGUUUGCGGUUAAUUAAUUGCACAUACUGAAGUUUGAUGCCAUGUUCUGAUGAAUCCGGUCUUGAUUCCUGAAGGAAAGAAACAUGAAAUUGCCGCUGUGGCAUCUCUACAUGGCAUCAAACGUCAGCAUGUGUAAAUAGUUAAUUGCACGACACCAGAA
rnacentral:pre_miRNA from 1 species